rnacentral:rRNA from 1 species
CGAACGCUGGCGGCAGGCCUACCACAUGCACGUCGAGCGAGGACUUCGGUUCUAGCGGCGGACGGGUGAGUAACGCGUGGGAAUGUGCCCUUCUCUACGGAAUAGCCCUGGGAAACUGGGAGUAAUACCGUAUACGCCCUAUUGGGGAAAGAUUUAUCGGAGAAGGAUCAGCCCGCGUUGGAUUAGGUAGUUGGUGGGGUAAUGGCCUACCAAGCCGACGAUCCAUAGCUGGUUUGAGAGGAUGAUCAGCCACACUGGGACUGAGACACGGCCCAGACUCCUACGGGAGGCAGCAGUGGGGAAUCUUAGACAAUGGGGGCAACCCUGAUCUAGCCAUGCCGCGUGAGUGAUGAAGGCCUUAGGGUUGUAAAGCUCUUUCAGCUGGGAAGAUAAUGACGGUACCAGCAGAAGAAGCCCCGGCUAACUCCGUG